GACGAACGCUGGCGGCGCGCCUAACACAUGCAAGUCGAACGGGGUUAUGUUGGUUGAAGUUUUCGGAUGGAUACCGACAUAACUUAGUGGCGAACGGGUGAGUAACGCGUGAGUAACCUGCCCUGGAGUGGGGGACAACAGUUGGAAACGACUGCUAAUACCGCAUAAGCCCACGAUCUGGCAUCGGAUUGAGGGAAAAGGAUUUAUUCGCUUCAGGAUGGACUCGCGUCCAAUUAGCUAGUUGGUGAGGUAACGGCCCACCAAGGCGACGAUUGGUAGCCGGACUGAGAGGUUGAACGGCCACAUUGGGACUGAGACACGGCCCAGACUCCUACGGGAGGCAGCAGUGGGGGAUAUUGCACAAUGGGGGAAACCCUGAUGCAGCGACGCCGCGUGGAGGAAGAAGGUUUUCGGAUUGUAAACUCCUGUCGUUAGGGACGAUAAUGACGGUACCUAACAAGAAAGCACCGGCUAACUACGUGCCAGCAGCCGCGGUAAAACGUAGGGUGCAAGCGUUGUCCGGAAUUACUGGGUGUAAAGGGAGCGCAGGCGGACCGGCAAGUUGGAAGUGAAAUCUAUGGGCUCAACCCAUAAAUUGCUUUCAAAACUGCUGGCCUUGAGUAGUGCAGAGGUAGGUGGAAUUCCCGGUGUAGCGGUGGAAUGCGUAGAUAUCGGGAGGAACACCAGUGGCGAAGGCGACCUACUGGGCACCAACUGACGCUGAGGCUCGAAAGCAUGGGUAGCAAACAGGAUUAGAUACCCUGGUAGUCC
rnacentral:rRNA from 1 species